UGUGAGCUCGAUGAGUAGGGCGGGACACGUGGUAUCCUGUCUGAAUAUGGGGGGACCAUCCUCCAAGGCUAAAUACUCCUGACUGACCGAUAGUGAACCAGUACCGUGAGGGAAAGGCGAAAAGAACCCCGGCGAGGGGAGUGAAAAAGAACCUGAAACCGUGUACGUACAAGCAGUGGGAGCACGCUUAGGCGUGUGACUGCGUACCUUUUGUAUAAUGGGUCAGCGACUUAUAUUCUGUAGCAAGGUUAACCGAAUAGGGGAGCCGAAGGGAAACCGAGUCUUAACUGGGCGUUAAGUUGCAGGGUAUAGACCCGAAACCCGGUGAUCUAGCCAUGGGCAGGUUGAAGGUUGGGUAACACUAACUGGAGGACCGAACCGACUAAUGUUGAAAAAUUAGCGGAUGACUUGUGGCUGGGGGUGAAAGGCCAAUCAAACCGGGAGAUAGCUGGUUCUCCCCGAAAGCUAUUUAGGUAGCGCCUCGUGAAUUCAUCUCCGGGGGUAGAGCACUGUUUCGGCAAGGGGGUCAUCCCGACUUACCAACCCGAUGCAAACUGCGAAUACCGGAGAAUGUUAUCACGGGAGACACACGGCGGGUGCUAACGUCCGUCGUGAAGAGGGAAACAACCCAGACCGCCAGCUAAGGUCCCAAAGUCAUGGUUAAGUGGGAAACGAUGUGGGAAGGCCCAGACAGCCAGGAUGUUGGCUUAGAAGCAGCCAUCAUUUAAAGAAAGCGUAAUAGCUCACUGGUCGAGUCGGCCUGCGCGGAAGAUGUAACGGGGCUAAACCAUGCACCGAAGCUGCGGCAGCGACACUAUGUGUUGUUGGGUAGGGGAGCGUUCUGUAAGCCUGUGAAGGUGUGCUGUGAGGCAUGCUGGAGGUAUCAGAAGUGCGAAUGCUGACAUAAGUAACGAUAAAGCGGGUGAAAAGCCCGCUCGCCGGAAGACCAAGGGUUCCUGUCCAACGUUAAUCGGGGCAGGGUGAGUCGACCCCUAAGGCGAGGCCGAAAGGCGUAGUCGAUGGGAAACAGGUUAAUAUUCCUGUACUUGGUGUUACUGCGAAGGGGGGACGGAGAAGGCUAUGUUGGCCGGGCGACGGUUGUCCCGGUUUAAGCGUGUAGGCUGGUUUUCCAGGCAAAUCCGGAAAAUCAAGGCUGAGGCGUGAUGACGAGGCACUACGGUGCUGAAGCAACAAAUGCCCUGCUUCCAGGAAAAGCCUCUAAGCAUCAGGUAACAUCAAAUCGUACCCCAAACCGACACAGGUGGUCAGGUAGAGAAUACCAAGGCGCUUGAGAGAACUCGGGUGAAGGAACUAGGCAAAAUGGUGCCGUAACUUCGGGAGAAGGCACGCUGAUAUGUAGGUGAAGUCCCUCGCGGAUGGAGCUGAAAUCAGUCGAAGAUACCAGCUGGCUGCAACUGUUUAUUAAAAACACAGCACUGUGCAAACACGAAAGUGGACGUAUACGGUGUGACGCCUGCCCGGUGCCGGAAGGUUAAUUGAUGGGGUUAGCCGCAAGGCGAAGCUCUUGAUCGAAGCCCCGGUAAACGGCGGCCGUAACUAUAACGGUCCUAAGGUAGCGAAAUUCCUUGUCGGGUAAGUUCCGACCUGCACGAAUGGCGUAAUGAUGGCCAGGCUGUCUCCACCCGAGACUCAGUGAAAUUGAACUCGCUGUGAAGAUGCAGUGUACCCGCGGCAAGACGGAAAGACCCCGUGAACCUUUACUAUAGCUUGACACUGAACAUUGAGCCUUGAUGUGUAGGAUAGGUGGGAGGCUUUGAAGUGUGGACGCCAGUCUGCAUGGAGCCGACCUUGAAAUACCACCCUUUAAUGUUUGAUGUUCUAACGUUGACCCGUAAUCCGGGUUGCGGACAGUGUCUGGUGGGUAGUUUGACUGGGGCGGUCUCCUCCUAAAGAGUAACGGAGGAGCACGAAGGUUGGCUAAUCCUGGUCGGACAUCAGGAGGUUAGUGCAAUGGCAUAAGCCAGCUUGACUGCGAGCGUGACGGCGCGAGCAGGUGCGAAAGCAGGUCAUAGUGAUCCGGUGGUUCUGAAUGGAAGGGCCAUCGCUCAACGGAUAAAAGGUACUCCGGGGAUAACAGGCUGAUACCGCCCAAGAGUUCAUAUCGACGGCGGUGUUUGGCACCUCGAUGUCGGCUCAUCACAUCCUGGGGCUGAAGUAGGUCCCAAGGGUAUGGCUGUUCGCCAUUUAAAGUGGUACGCGAGCUGGGUUUAGAACGUCGUGAGACAGUUCGGUCCCUAUCUGCCGUGGGCGCUGGAGAACUGAGGGGGGCUGCUCCUAGUACGAGAGGACCGGAGUGGACGCAUCACUGGUGUUCGGGUUGUCAUGCCAAUGGCACUGCCCGGUAGCUAAAUGCGGAAGAGAUAAGUGCUGAAAGCAUCUAAGCACGAAACUUGCCCCGAGAUGAGUUCUCCCUGACUCCUUGAGAGUCCUGAAGGAACGUUGAAGACGACGACGUUGAUAGGCCGGGUGUGUAAGCGCAGCGAUGCGUUGAGCUAACCGGUACUAAUGAACCGUGAGGCUUAACCUUACAACGCCGAAG
rnacentral:rRNA from 1 species